UACAAUGAUGAUCAUGGACUAGCUCUCCAAAACCGAAAACAAGUCUUCACAUCCCUUUUACCCAGGAUCUACUUUCCAUCCCUGCAAAACAGUGCCUAGAGAUGUAGCCCAGCUGGUGGAGUGCUUGUCUCUUGUGUUCGAAUCCCUGUGUUUGAUAGCCAGCACUACAUAAACUGGGUGUGGUGGUGUACACCAAUAAUCCCAGCACCUAGGAGGUAGAGGCAAGAGGAUCAGAAUGUCAAGAUCAAGACAUAGAGCACACUAAAUCAGUGGAUCAACCAAAAACCAAUUGUAACAGGGGCCCAGACCUUAGUGCAACUGACUCCAUGAUGCAAACGCCAUACUGUGAAACUCAGCUUCUCCAGUUUAUUGUCCUAGCCAACUCUUCCUUUCAUUUUGUCUGCCCUAUGUCUGUAUUUUCCCAUACUGGACAGGAUGAGAAGUUGACUUUCGAGCCUGGACUCCCACUUCUCCACUCACUGCCCAGUGAACAGAUUUGUGCUAUUAGUGCUCAGCCUCAGUUUCCCCUUUCAUUUUACAACACCAAGUAUGUCUCUUGGGAGGGCCUUCUCUCUGGGACCAACAGA
rnacentral:lncRNA from 1 species